rnacentral:tRNA from 1 species
GGGGAUUUAGCUCAGUGGCAUAAGCACCUGCCUUGCAAGCAGGCGGUUGUGAGUUCGAUUCACAGUACUGA